rnacentral:tRNA from 1 species
UUUAAUAUGGCAGAAUAAUGCAAUAGGCUUAAAAUCUAUUUAUAAAGAAUUUUAUUCUUUUAUUAAAA